UAUUGCCUGGCUGCAAGGCUGUAUGCAAGAUCCUGGAGGCUGUGACUGUUCCAGACCCGCUUGAAGAGUCUGCCGAAGGCACUGCCGGUGUUUGAGAGUCUACCUCCUUGUCAGUCAUGGCAUUAUACAAGAUGACACUCCCCAGUUGACUUCUUAGUUGAUUUAGUUGACUUCACAGCCUGUAAUGCUCCAACACUUGCUGUUUUUAAGAUAGAACCUCUAUAACCUCAUCAUUCAGGUAAGUGUGUGUGUGUAUAUGUAAGUA